rnacentral:lncRNA from 10 species
UUUUCUGGGCAAUUUAAAAAGAUUGUCCUUAGAUUUACCCAGUGUAUCAUUCCUGGGUUUGUAAUUGCCUUCCAGGAAGGAACUGAAAAAUACCUUCCUCCCUGAGUCUCCCGCUGCGCACCAGGCCUCUUGGUGACACAGUGCAAGAACUGGCACUUGUGAUGCUAUCUCCAGGAUGCGCCAGUGAUGACAAUGGCUUCCAGUUAGGAGGCCCUUACUGUGUGCCAGGUGCCGUGCUCGGUAUGCUGUGGUCAUUGUCUCACUUGAUUCUCACAAUGAAUGCCCGCAGCAGGCUCGGUUAUUAUCCCCAGUUUAGAGAUGAGGCAACUGAGGCCUAGAGAGGUGAACUCGUCAAGGUCUUGUGGCUACUAAGCAGCAGGGCCAGGGUUUGCAUCGGGUGCUCUCUUGACUCCAGCACCCACAAUUUUAACCACUGUCGCUAUUCUACAUUUUGCUGUUUCUCAGGUAUUAAUGAAAUCAGCCUCAACCCAGGGUAUCCAGCCUCAGUUGGCCUAGUUUGGAUUAGGUGGCAGGGUAGGUGUUGGGCAGACCAAAGGUAUCAAAUGGGAUCUUUAAGGAUUUUCAGCAUUUCAAAAGCUAAUAUUAUAAUACAUUUUCAUAAAAAUGAUGUUUUAAGGGUAAAAGAAAAGAAGUAAGCUAUUUUCCUAGAUAAAGCUGCCCAGUCUAACAAGACAUAAAACAUGUUUUUCGGCCUAGGAUUUUAUCAAUUUAGAGUGGUAAUGCUGGGUCAGAUGUUUUGAUUAAUUAAUCUUUGAUUAAUAAGUAUAAGAAAGCUAAUUAUUAGAAGAGAAGGUUGUUUUAUAAACAUCAUCUUUCAAAAUUCGAGAUUUAUGGGGAAUAAAUUAGGAGAAGGUGGUUAAACCUCUUCAACAAUAAAUUGCUCUUUGGGGACAUUUUAUGCACAGAACUGUGCACCCUCCUCAGAACAGCAGGUCUUUAAUGGCCCAUGUGAUGAGAAGGGCCCCAUCAAGGCAGCAGGAAUGGGCCACUCUCCCACACCCCAUGGGCCAGGCCACUGCCACUCCUGCUGCCCUGCAUCCCCAGGUUUAUGGCUGCAUGGUAGAAGUCACUUCUGUAAGAAAUUCACCUUUCUAAAAUAAAGUAUGCUCUUUUUUCUGAGACAUCUAUAGAAUAACUUGUGGCAGAGUGUUUUAAAAACUGAUUUGGAUUUUUUUUAUCCUUUAACCGUGUGAAAGGAUGGAAGGGAUUUUAGGUGGAAGAGAAGUUAAGAACAGAAAGAUAGAGCAGGUUUUUAGAGUGGGAGAAUUAAUCCCAAAGAAAAAGAGGGCAUGGAAACAAAU